rnacentral:tRNA from 2 species
GGAGGAAUGGCAGAGCGGUUGAUUGCAGCAGUCUUGAAAACUGCCGUACUGAGAGGUACCGGGGGUUCGAAUCCCUCUUCCUCCG